AACGAACGCUGGCGGCAGGCCUAACACAUGCAAGUCGAACGCUCCGCAAGGGGAGUGGCAGACGGGUGAGUAACACGUGGGAAUCUUCCUGUUGGUGCGGAAUAGCUCAGGGAAACUUGGGGUAAUACCGCAUAAGCCCGAGAGGGGAAAGACUUAUCGCCGACAGAUGAGCCCGCGUCUGAUUAGCUAGUUGGUGAGGUAACGGCUCACCAAGGCGACGAUCAGUAGCUGGUCUGAGAGGAUGACCAGCCACACUGGGACUGAGACACGGCCCAGACUCCUACGGGAGGCAGCAGUGGGGAAUAUUGGACAAUGGGCGCAAGCCUGAUCCAGCCAUGCCGCGUGAGUGACGAAGGUCUUCGGAUUGUAAAGCUCUUUUGGCGGGGACGAUAAUGACGGUACCCGCAGAAUAAGCCCCGGCUAACUUCGUGCCAGCCGCCGCGGUAACAC
rnacentral:rRNA from 1 species